CCAACAAUUCAACAACAGCAAGCCAGUGCCACUCCCCAUAAGUAACCAGCAUGGCAGCAUCAUGUAGGCAAAGAUACACCCUUAGUUUUAGCAAACACAACAAUUUAAAUGGAUGUUGGUUGUGAUCACAAGCCUCAUGCCGUUUGUAUUCCAUCUCCAGCUCAGAGUCACAUCAAGAGUUUUCUUCAGUUUGCCAAAACCCUCCACCACAGAGGCUUUCACAUAACCUUUGUCAACACUGAAUUCAACCACAAGCGAUUUCUUAAAUCUCGAGGACCCAACUCCCUCGAUGGCUUACCUGAUUUUCGCUUUGAAGCCAUUCCUGAUGGCCUUCCAGAAUCAGAUGAAGAUGCCACCCAAGAGACCAAUUUGUUAUUUGAAUCCAUCAGAAAUCAUCUCUUGACUCCAUUUCGUGACCUCCUGUCAAAACUCAACAGUAGCACUAGUUCCCCAGUUACCUGCAUUGUUUCCGAUUUAUUCAUGUCCAGUUUUACCAUCACGGCUGCAGAAGAACAUGGAGUCCCUAUUGCAUUGUUGAGCACUAUUUCUGCUUCCGCUUUCAUGGGAUUCAGGAAAUUCCGAACUUUACUUGAGAAAGGACUUUUUCCACUUAAAGAUGAGAGCUGUUUGACAAAUGGGUUUCUAGACAACACAAUAGAAUGGAUUCCAGGAAAGAAAGAUAUUUGUUUGAAGUAUCUGCCUACUUUUUGUCGAACUACAGAUCCAGACGACAUCCUCUUCAACACCACCAUUGAAGCACUGGAAAACGCAAAUAAAACUUAAGCUGUUUUUCUUCUCACAUUUGAUGCUUUGGAAAAAGAUGCUCUGGAAGCUCUCUCCUCAUCUAUUUCUCCACCAAUUUAUUCAAUUGGUCCUCUCCAAUUGCUGCUAAAUCAAAUACCAGAAGACCCUUGGAAACCUAUGGGAUACAGUCUUUGGAAGGAGGAAAGAGACUGUCUCCAAUGGCUAAACUGCAAGCCACCAAACUCAAUUGUUUAUGUCAAUUUUGGAAGUAUUGUGGUUUUGACACCAGAACAGCUUCUCGAGUUUGGUUGGGGACUUGCGAAUACCAAGCUUCCUUUCUUCUGGGUUAUUAGGCCAGAUUUGGUUGUCGGAAAAUCAGCAAUCUUGCCACCAGAGUUUGAAGCUGAAACCAAAGACAGAGGCCUAAUAGCAAGUUGGUGCCCCCAAGAAGAAGUCCUAAACCAUCCAUCAGUGGGAGGGUUUUUAACACACUGUGGUUGGAAUUCAACCAUUGAGAGUAUUACAGCUGGAGUGCCAAUGCUGUGUUGGCCAUUCUGUGGAGACCAGCAAACAAACAGUUACAGUUGCUGUGAAUGGGGAAUUGGCAUGGAGAUCGACACAGAUGUCAAGAGAGACAAUGUGGAGAAGCUUGUGAAGGAGUUAAUGGAGGGAGAUAAGGGCGAGAAAAUGAGAAGCAAGUGUCUGGAGUGGAAGAAACUUCAGAGGAAGCCACUGCUCCGCAUGGUUCUUCAUCAAAAAAUUUGGAAAAUUUAGUGAAUCAAGUCUUAUUAAGAAAAAUCACUGAAUAAAGGUGUAGUACUAUGUGAAAGGAGCUAAAUUUGAUGGGUCAUUUCAUGGCAGGUUUCUUUUUCAUGUUAAUAGUUUCUUAAUAAAGUUAUCGUUUUUUUGUAUUCGAAAAAGAAGAAGAAAGGCACUGUAUUCCUCUGUUUAAUUAACUUGCAAAGAUUUUACUUGGCAUCCUAUGUAUUAAGAAUAACAUCGAUGGUUUAGUGACCACUGCUUAC